CGCAAGCCUGACGGAGCAAGACCGCGUGCGGGAUGACGGCCUAAUGGUUGUAAACCGCUUUUCUCUGGGAAGAAGAUGACGGUACCAGAGGAAUAAGCCUCGGCUAACUCCGUGCCAGCAGCCGCGGCAAUACGGAGGAGGCAAGCGUUAUCCGGAGUUAUUGGGCGUAAAGCGUCCGUAGGUGGUUCAUCAAGUCAGCUGUUAAAGAGCGGAGCUCAACUCCGUCGGAGCGGUUGAAACUGGUGAACUAGAGUUUGGUAGGGGUCGAGGGAAUUCCCAGUGUAGCGGUGAAAUGCGUAGAUAUUGGGAAGAACACCGGUGGCGAAAGCGCUCGGCUGGGCCAAAACUGACACUGAGGGACGAAAGCUAGGGGAGCG
rnacentral:rRNA from 1 species